GUGGUUGAUAGGUCAGGUGUGUAAGUGCAGCAAUGCAUUGAGCUAACUGAUACUAAUGAUCCGUGCGGCUUGACCAU
rnacentral:rRNA from 1 species